rnacentral:lncRNA from 1 species
UGGUACCAGGCUGUAAACAUGUUUAUUUCUGCUGUGAAAUUGGUAUUUUUAACAUGGGAGUCAAUGAGGAUUUGCUCGCUUCUGACACCAGCCCCUAGUGGAUGAGGGUGGAACUGCAAUUGUUGUCACUUCCUGUUUUGCUUUAUAUCCAGACCCGAAUUAUGGGGGCUUGAGUUAGACGUAGGACUCCCAAACCACCUCCUCUCCAGAAUUGCGCUUUGGAAUCCUGUCCAGGAACACCAACAUCAGGAUGAUGGAGCGGGCUAGGUGGAGUGGAGUGACUCUGGGAGUUAACUCGACUUAGUGCCAAGAACGUGGACACGUCUCUAGCUUUGUGAGGUACUCUGAAAAGUGAGCCUGGAUCCAUGAAACACAUGGACUGGAGAACCAAACUUUAAUGAGCCGCUCCACAAGGCUGAAGAUCUGCUCCACUUUUUCAUAACGUGGGUUAAAACCCACAAACUGUUCAGCAAUCAGUCUCAAAAAGCCAAACUCUAGCGUCGCCAUGUUUUACAGCUGGGAUAAGGAUCAAAGUAGUCACCCUUGUCUAUGAAUUAAUUAUCAGUGACUUAUUUUCAGUUGAGAUGCUGCUGCUUUAAAGAUUAAUGUGUUCAUAGCAAAUUUCAUGUGACUGAUAUCUGUGUUCAUUUAUGAACCUUUUCUAUCUGCAUGUAGGUCCCUUCAGAUCUGGAUCAUCUCACAGCUUGAGCAACAUCCCAAAGAGUCAUAAAACUCCCAACAGCAGGAGAAGCUCCAAGGUACAGCGGUGCUUUGACUGGUUCUUGUUUACCUGUACGAUCGCAAACAUCACGCUGUUCGUCUGCGUCUUCUUCCAGAGCUCAGUUGAUCUGGAAACCACGACAGAAGAGCACGCGAGGAACGGGGUCAUGUGUAGUUUCUGUUUAAAGCCUGUUCACCUCAUACAGAGAUGUCUGAGUGACGGGAAGUUUUACCAUCGCAGCUGUUUCAGAUGUAAAAUUUGCCACGCCACUCUUUUAUUUGAUUCCCGUCAUGCUGGCUCUUUGAUGUGUUCCUCCCACGUAAAAGACUCUAAAACCGCUUGUGCUGACCCCAGUCAACGAUUCAGAUCCCCUGAGAAUAAACCCAGAAGUGAGUCUGGGGCGGGUUUUCCAGCCCUCUGCUCUUUGGAUGGACUGCCCAUCACCAACGUUCCUCGUUACGCUCAGAAAGCGGAAUCACAAGACAGACCAGGAGCAGGUGAGAGCAGAGCGGCGAUAGAUGGAGAAGACUCGACUCAGAGCAGCGUUAGAGGAGGAAGAGGGGAACACACGCAUUGUGCAGACAGGAAGGCCCAACAGGAUGCAGUAAAGAUCUCUUGUUCGGUGACAGAAGGAAGUAUUUAUCCUGUUCCAGCACCCAGACGAAGUUUAGACUCCUCUACGGUCUCUGUUCCUGCUCCCAGAGCCAAAACAAUGAGCAGCUCCCCUAGUGCAGGUACUAGAUGA